rnacentral:rRNA from 1 species
CACCGCCCGUCACACCAUGGGAGUUGGCUCUACCCGGAAGACGGUUGUGCUAACCUCGCAAGAGGAGGGCAGCCGGCCACGGUCGGGUCAGCGACUGGGGUG